GUCUAUGGCCAUGCCACCCUGAACAAGCCUGAUCCCGUCUGAUCUCGGAAGCUAAGCAGGGUCAGGCCUGGUUAGUACUUGGAUGGGGGACCACCUAGGAAGACCAGAUGCUGUAGGCG
rnacentral:rRNA from 1 species